UACAGGUACUGCUAAAUUGAUAAAAGAUCUUUGGCGUAGCAGCGCCGCAACGAAUCCUCGGAUCUACUAAACAACCAGAUAAAAUCUGUUCCUUUGUUUUUAUCGUGCCAGGACGACAUGGCGAAGUGAAAUGUUCCCAUCCACUUAUCCAGUAACAGAUGAUCAAGCAAGGCAGCACAUGAUCCAAACAAGCUUUUUCAGACACAAUUUAGAUUUUGUUUAAUUCACAAAAAAUUUUGAGUU
rnacentral:lncRNA from 1 species